AAUAGGAGCAAGGCAGCGGGUGAAAAAAGUUUCAGUUAUACGAAAUCUUUGCCAAAAGGUUGGAAUCACCAUCGCUGCUCGCAAAUAUGAUUUUGAUGCUCUGGCACCUUUCCAAGUUUCAGAUAUAUUGAAUAUCCAACCAGUAGUGAAGCAUUCCAUUCCAGUUUGUUCGGAAGCAAAGGAUCUGGUUGAAACAAUUAGCAGAGGGAAUGCGCAGUGAGGCAUACACGUUAUUUUCUGAAGCUUUCACAAUUCUCCAGCAGGUGCAGUUAACAAUGUUUACUCCUGCUACUUGGCCAUGGUCUUGUAUCAUGCUGGAGACAUGGCUGGAGCAAUAAUGCAACAGUACAAGGAGCUAAUCAUGAAUGAACGAUGCCUUGGACUCGAUCACCCUGACAGCUCACAGGCACGAACAGUUUUCCUCUACUUGUUUCAGUUUUCAGUGACAUGGGUUAUGAUUAAAUUUUCUGCAAAACAGAUAUUGAGUUACUAUGUUCACCUAUUCUUUGGAGUUGACCUAUUGUAGUAUCUAGUUACUUUAGUAGCCAAUAAGAGACUUUAUGGCUCUGGGAUGUAUCAAAAUCAAAUGGUGCCACAUUUGGCUUGACAAUUGGGGUUAAACCUCAUCUCAACCCAAUCAUGAGUUUGAUC